ACUUAUGAUCAGAUGGCAUUUUGAAAAACCCUAACAACAUUCACGCACACGACACCCCUAACCCUCACUCCCUGCUUCUCUCUCGUGACCAAGCACCGGCGACCGGAGGGCUCCGACCGGCCAUCGGUCUUCUUGCACCUCCGACAAACCCCCCAAACAAACACCUGCCACCCCCUAGCUGUUAUACUCGCACAACACCCCCUGCUCACGAUUAACGACCAACCACCACCCUCGGGUGGUGGCUUAAGACGGCAAACGGUGGACAUCAGAGAACCAGAGAGAGGUGUGACGAAAAGGAGAGAAAUCGGGGAAGAAAGGGGACACAGCGGCAGCGGCGGCGGUGCCUCGAUGGUGUACGGACAACAUGUAAAGGUCAUCUUCAUCUCGUUUUCUUCUAGAUUCGACCCCAAAACCUCGAUUUUCGGCCGAUUUUCCGGUGAAAUGAUGAAGAUGAUGAUGAUACGAGAUGACGGUGAUGAUUAUGAUGUGUUGGGGUGGCCGACGGCGGCACCAUCGGAGCUACAACAGCGGCGGCGACAGUGAAUAGGUCCUGCUUAGACUCGGUUUCGAUUCAAGUCGUGGACUCGGUUCCAGUGGUUGGUUAGUAUGGUUGCUUUACUUCGAGUUCGGGUCGGCGAAGGUGGUUCAACCUUCAGUUCGGUUUGGUUCAGGAUCGGUUAAAUUAAACACCAGUUUAGGUGACGGAAUCAGGUUCAAUGGAAGCGGAAGUGUUUGGUCCGAGUUACUUUGUAGCAGUUGGGUUCGGGUCUCGGUUCAGAGACUUCGGGUCACGGUUCACGCCAGUGGGUUCGGUUCGGUCAACAUAAGUCAGCAGCGGUUAGGUUCAUGGUUCGGGUUGACUCGGUCAAACCGAGUCAACUCGGGCAUACCUGGUCAACUCAGUUCAGUUUUGGUCAACGCCCGGUCAACUCAGGACCCGGUAAAGUUUAGACGUAGCGAGAUAAUUUUUCGUUAUCUUUAGAUUUUUAUUUUACGCGAACCGAGCUGGACCCGACUAAAUAACGUUUAUACAUUAGUGAUUAAUUACGUUUUGGAAUUUGACAAAAGUUAUAUAUAUUGAUUGUUGAA